rnacentral:lncRNA from 10 species
ACCCUAGGCAGGCACUGCUCCGUGAUCCAGGAACCACCUCUCUCUACAGCUGGGAGUGAGCAGUCAGAGAGGGAGACAGCCUUGCCCGGUGCUACCCAGCAAGCUAGUCACCGAGUGGGCAGAGGGAGGAGCGGCCCUCACCGGAUGUCAAGCAGCCUGGGUCCCCAGUCCAGCUCUGCCUGUCCCUCGCAAUAACGCCUCAGGUAUGUUACGGACCACUCAGCUUGUUUCCCUGUAAGGAAACGUCCCUUCUCCCUUGAAAUAUGUCCCUUUCUAUCCUCCCGGGGCCCUCGCAGGCCAACAGCCAGGAAGGUUGGAGCUGAGCUGGGCUGGCGGUAGCAACAGCAGCUUUCUCUCCUGCAUUGGCUCCAGCAAGUCUUGCUCAGACGUUGGUGGGGUGGGGUGGGGAGGGUCACCGAGGCAGGGAGGAGCCUGGGGGUUGUCCUGUCGUCCUCCUGGGCCCCUAGAGUAGAAAGGGCACGUGAGGACCAUCGAG